CGCAAACAAAUCCUACGACAUGACAUUGAAGGACAUCAGCAAAAAAAGAAUGCUGAAAACCUAUCUCUUAUGAAUUAAAUGUACAGGGGGCUGAAUGUUGUUCCAAUAAUGGAGAAAGCAAAUAUUAGAGUUGAGUUAAUUUGAAUUCUGCAAGCAGUUCAUACCUUUCCAGAAACAGUAUUGGAUACCUUCAGUUGUCAAGCCUACCAAAAUUAAGUAUUAUUUCAAGUUUCAGGUCCUAUUGAGAUUUCAUAGGAAGGCAUCAACUUACACUUGGUGCUCUGUCCGCAGUCGACUCACACUUUUCAGUUUGGGUGUUGGGAUUGAAGCAAAUUCUGGACGCAAAGAAACAAGGGCUUUUGACAAAUUACUUUCUUCUUGCGUCUCCACGUUUUGGUCUUGCAUAAAGCUCUGUAAAUUCGUAGCAAAUUGUUCUAUAUUGAGUUUGAUUGUAGGGAUUUCAUCGGGAUCCUCAUAGAAUGCAUCCUCAAUAUCACUUUCUGACACUUCCAACGGUGGUUCUGGCGUCGUUGGUUCCUCGAUAAUAGGAUCACAGUUUUGCCCCGUUUCUCUAUCUGAACUGUCAUGUAGUUGUGGUAGUGCCAUUGGCUUUAUCGUUACACCAGGGUUUUUAUUGGCAGUUGUAGUAGUAGUAGAUGCAACGAUACAUUUCUCUUCUGGCCCAGGGAGGGCAAGUCUAGCGCUAUACCAAGCAAAAUAUACUCAUCAUAUUUUUGUAUGUGUAUUCAUUCUGAUGUCAUAAAGGUUAUGAAGUAAUAGAAGGCAAACCUUGCAAAAGCACUAGCAAAGUGUCGGCACUCUCCUCUCAUUGGGCAUGCAUUACAAUUUGGUUGUUUCUUUGUGCAG